rnacentral:lncRNA from 1 species
AGUGACCAGGGCCACCGGGCAAUGGGAGCUGAAGGAAGUCACCAUAUUCCAGAGCAGACAGUCACUCAGGGACAUUCAAGAGAGAGAAGAGCCCUGUCUCUAAGAGGAAGUAGUUGGAGCCUCAGGAUCUUCCUCCGAAUCAGGCUUGAUGACCCUGUCCUACCAGAGAAACAUCUGUCCCUGUUGAUGGCUUCUCUUCUUCCUCCUUUCCUGGAGCUCCCUUAGCCUGGGCUCUAAUUUGCA